GGAGGAAGGUGGGGAUGACGUCAAAUCAUCAUGCCCCUUAUGACCUGGGCUACACACGUGCUACAAUGGGAAGUACAACGAGUCGCUAGACCGCGAGGUCAUGCAAAUCUCUUAAAGCUUCUCUCAGUUCGGAUUGCAGGCUGCAACUCGCCUGCAUGAAGCCGGAAUCGCUAGUAAUCGCGGAUCAGCACGCCGCGGUGAAUACGUUCCCGGGCCUUGUACACACCGCCCGUCACACCACGAGAGUUUGUAACACCCGAAGUCGGUGAGGUAACCUUUUUGGAGCCAGCCGCCUAAGGUGGGAUAGAUGAUUGGGGUGAAGUCGUAACAAGGUAGCCGUAUCGGAAGGUGCGGCUGGAUCACCUCCUUU
rnacentral:rRNA from 1 species